rnacentral:rRNA from 1 species
CUUUGGGAUAACCCUCGGAAACGGGGGCUAAUACCGGAUAUGACCUCCUGUCGCAUGGUAGGGGGUGGAAAGUUUUUCGGCCUGGGAUGGGCCCGCGGCCUAUCAGCUUGUUGGUGGGGUGAUGGCCUACCAAGGCGACGACGGGUAGCCGGCCUGAGAGGGCGACCGGCCACACUGGGACUGAGACACGGCCCAGACUCCUACGGGAGGCAGCAGUGGGGAAUAUUGCACAAUGGGCGGAAGCCUGAUGCAGCGAUGCCGCGUGAGGGAUGACGGCCUUCGGGUUGUAAACCUCUUUCAGCAGGGACGAAGCGCAGGUGACGGUACCUGCAGAAGAAGCGCCGGCUAACUACGUGCCAGCAGCCGCGGUAAGACGUAGGGCGCGAGCGUUGUCCGGAUUUAUUGGGUGUAAAGAGCUCGUAGGCGGCUUGUCGCGUCGACCGUGAAAACUUGGGGCUCAACCCCAAGCCUGUGGUCGAUACGGGCAGGCUAGAGUUCGGUAGGGGAGACUGGAAUUCCUGGUGUAGCGGUGAAAUGCGCAGAUAUCAGGAGGAACACCGGUGGCGAAGGCGGGUCUCUGGGCCGAUACUGACGCUGAGGAGCGAAAGCGUGGGGAGCGAACAGGAUUAGAUACCCUGGUAGUCCACGCUGUAAACGUUGGGCGC